rnacentral:rRNA from 1 species
GCUCGUAGUUGGAUUUCUGGGAGGGCACCAAUGUCCGCUCGUUCGCGUGUGCAGCGGCGCCUUCCAUCCUUCUGUUAACGCUUCUUGGUAUUCAGUUACUGGUAGCGGGCUCAGAUAUUUUACCUUGAGAAAAUUAGAGUGUUCCAGGCAGGCUUGCGCCGGAAUACAUUAGCAUGGAAUAAUAGAAUAGGACUUUAGUCUCCUUUGUUGGUUUGAGGGACUGAAGUAAUGAUUAAUAGGGAUAGUUGGGGGCAUUAGUAUUUAAUUGUCAGAGGUGAAAUUCUCGGAUUUGUUAAAGACUAACUUAUGCGAAAGCAUUUGCCAAGGAUGUUUUCAUUAAUCAAGAACGAAAGUUAGGGGAUCAAAAGACGAUCAGAUACCGUCCUAGUCUUAACCAUAAACUAUGCCGACUAGGGAUCGGAGGCGCGCUUUAAUCCGCCUUCGGAACCUUUAUGAGAAAUCAAAGUCUUUGGGUUCUGGGGGGGAGUAUGGUCGCAAGGCUGAAAACUUAAAGGGAAUUGACGGAAGGCCACCACCAGGAGUGGAGGCUUGCGGCUCAAUUUGACUCACCACGGGGAAAACUUACCAGGUCCAGACAUAGUGAGGAUUGACAGAUUGAUAGCUCUUUUCUUGAUUCUAUGGGUGGUGGUGCAUGGCCGUUCUUAGUUGGUGGAGUGAUUUGUCUGGUUAAUUCCGUUAACGAACGAGACCUUAGCCUACUAACUAGUCGAGCCAAUCUCCGAUUGGCCGCGACUUUCUUAGAGGGACUUUUGUGGCUCCAAACACAAGGAAGUUUGAGGCAAUAACAGGUCUGUGAUGCCCUUAGAUGUCCUGGG